ACCUUCUUUCUAAGUGUUCUAUUUUAUUAGUGCAAUUGGUUCGAGUUAAACUAACAUCCAUUGUACAAAUAUUUGUGGGACAUAUUCAGGAUUGGGCAAAGAAUCACUCUGGUGACCCAGAGAUAGAUGAAGCUUUAAAGAAGGGAGAAGAUGCUGGGCUUGCCUUGUCACUACCAGCAAGUAAUAGCACUGACUAUUAUUUUAAAUAAAAUAUGGAAUCGAGCUUUCAGCUGCAUCUUUUAGCAUCCUAGCGCACUCAUCAACUUCAGAGUUACCACUGGGGUCACUUUUCUCAAGAAAUCUGGAAAGAAGCGAGGAUUCUCAAGCUUCUGACUUCUCUGAUUCUGCAAGCCUUGAGGCUGUGAAACAUCUAUGCUAGGUCGCCACACUUCUGCCACCUUCAUUUGAUGAGGUUCAGCGUUCACUACUAUGAAAGAAGAAGGCAUAUAUUUUCCUUGUGGAAUUUCCAGUAGAAUGGCAGUGAGAACGAGUAAAAAUCUACAACAGUAUGACUGUAUGGUUCUCACUCAAAGUAGGGGCCCAACAAACUUUUUUGAAGUAGGAAUCGAAAACUACAAAUCCAUCUAUUCCUAGAAUGGAGCUGGUUGGAGUUGAGCCUACAAUUGAGCGGGUAGUUCGGUGGCACCGACAUCCAGCUGAUAGUUUAUAGGAGGGUUAGUAAAGCAAAUUUGUUCAUGAGGAAAUGUGCCAGCAAAACAUUGAGUCAGAGUGCAAGACAAAUGCUCUUAACAGUUUUUUUGGUCGCUUUUCUUUAAUUACAAUUCUUAUUAUUUUUAGUUGGCAUUGAUGUACAAAAGAAAAUCAUGUGCCUUGUUUGUCCUCUCAUUGACCAUUGUAUUUUUGAGUCAUAUCAGUCUAUGUAAAAGAAUUCAGUACCUUAUGUUUUGUAUAUUUGGAAAUGUCUAAAGGCGUGGUGUUAUAUAAUAA